rnacentral:rRNA from 1 species
AUUGAACGCUGGCGGGAUGCCUUACACAUGCAAGUCGAACGGCAGCGCGGACUUCGGUCUGGCGGCGAGUGGCGAACGGGUGAGUAAWGUAUCGGAACGUGCCCAGUAGCGGGGGAUAACUACGCGAAAGCGUAGCUAAUACCGCAUACGCCCUGAGGGGGAAAGCGGGGGAUCUUCGGACCUCGCACUAUUGGAGCGGCCGAUAUCGGAUUAGCUAGUUGGUGGGGUAACGGCUCACCAAGGCGACGAUCCGUAGCUGGUUUGAGAGGACGACCAGCCACACUGGGACUGAGACACGGCCCAGACUCCUACGGGAGGCAGCAGUGGGGAAUUUUGGACAAUGGGGGCAACCCUGAUCCAGCCAUCCCGCGUGUGCGAUGAAGGCCUUCGGGUUGUAAAGCACUUUUGGCAGGAAAGAAACGGCGCCGGCUAAUACCUGGCGUAACUGACGGUACCUGCAGAAUAAGCACCGGCUAACUAC